UGGGAUGUCGCCAAGCGGUAAGGCAACGGGUUUUGAUCCCGUCAUUCGCAGGUUCGAAUCCUGCCAUCCCAGCCA
rnacentral:tRNA from 5 species